GACAGAGGGUGGCAAACGUUGUUCGGAAUUAUUGGGCGUAAAGGGCGCGUAGGCGGCUUGGCAAGUGGAUGGUGAAAUCCCUCGGCUUAACCGAGGAACUGCCCGUCCAAACUGCUUCGCUUUGAGUCCGGAAGAGGCGAGUGGAAUUCCUGGUGUAGCGGUGAAAUGCGCAGAUAUCAGGAGGAACACCGAUGGCGAAGGCAGGUCACUGGGCCGCAACUGACGCUGAGGAGCGAAAGCAUGGGGAGCGAACAGG
rnacentral:rRNA from 1 species